GGCUUUGUCCCCGCCUGCGGAGCGCGGCUUGCUGCGCCAGGGCCUCCCUCUGCCCGCCGCUGACGGCGUGCGGGGCGCGUCCUCGUUUGCUGUUCAUGUAGUACAAGAAAUGUGCUGUCACUGAGCGAGGCAGAGCAAGAGGCGGAAGCCAAAACUACCGCCGUAUACUUAACAGGAGAGCAGGAAGACAACAUGGUAAAAAAGGACCCAAGACAGUACAACCAUACCAAGUACCAUGGAGAGAAGGCUACAGGAAAGGGUAGUUGAAAUUUUUUGGAAAGCUCCAUGCUUAAUUGGUUCCUGAUCCAAGAAAGAUUUGGGCUCUGCUUAAGUUCUGGAUAAAACAGAAAGAGGUGGAGAGCUGACAGUCCCAGGACAUCUAGAAUUAAGGGCAAGAAAGCCCAGAUAAGAAAAAUACAAGGAAGAGACUAGUCUGGUUUUACUUUGUUCAAAGUCACAAGACGUAUGACAUAUACAUAACCCUAAAAACCAAAUUGAAAUAAACGUUACCUACCCUUGGGUCACGAAAACACCUGCUCAUUUCCAUAAAGGGAACAAAUAAGACAUAAUUCUACCUUAAAAUCAGCUAAUGAAAAUA